GUCUUCAUGGUGUAACGGUAGCACAGUUGACUCGAAUUCGAGAGGUCCAGGUUCGAGACCCGGCGGGGGCA
rnacentral:tRNA from 1 species